UGCCAGCAGCCGCGGUAAUACGGAGGGGGUUAGCGUUGUUCGGAAUUACUGGGCGUAAAGCGUACGUAGGCGGAUCAGAAAGUAUGGGGUGAAAUCCCGAGGCUCAACCUCGGAACUGCCUCAUAAACUCCUGGUCUUGAGUUCGAGAGAGGUGAGUGGAAUUCCAAGUGUAGAGGUGAAAUUCGUAGAUAUUUGGAGGAACACCAGUGGCGAAGGCGGCUCACUGGACCAAUACUGACGCUGAGAUGCGAAAGCGUGGGGAGCGAACAGGAUUAGAUA
rnacentral:rRNA from 1 species